rnacentral:rRNA from 1 species
CAGCCGCCACGGUAAUACGGAGGGCGCGAGCGUUACCCGGAUUUACUGGGCGUAAAGGGCGUGUAGGCGGCCUGGGGCGUCCCAUGUGAAAGGCCACGGCUCAACCGUGGAGGAGCGUGGGAUACGCUCAGGCUAGAGGGUGGGAGAGGGUGGUGGAAUUCCCGGAGUAGCGGUGAAAUGCGCAGAUACCGGGAGGAACGCCGAUGGCGAAGGCAGCCACCUGGUCCACUUCUGACGCUGAGGCGCGAAAGCGUGGGGAGCAAACCGGAUUAGAUACCCGGGUAGUCCCUGUCUCUUAUAC